UGCUGUCACUUUUGAAGUCCAAAGAAGUUCCAGAUCAGAAGCAAGAAAGGAGGAGAUGCGAAUACGGGAAUUACAAAGGUUACUUUUGAAGUCCAGAGAAGUUCCAGAUCAGAAGCAAGAAAGGAGGAGAUGCGAAUAUGGGAAUUACAAGUGUGUGUUUAUAACUUUAUAUUAUCCCCUUGUCUUAAUUGUGUUGAAGCAGAGAAUCCCCUGCCAUUCUUAAGCAUCUUUCUAACAGAGAAGCUUUCAUUC